UCUCUGGUGGUCUAGUGGCUAAGACUCCACACUCUCAGUGGAGGGGGCCCAGGUUCAAUCCCUGGUCAGGGAA
rfam:TPA: Bos taurus chromosome 1, whole genome shotgun sequence.